UGAAACACCAGUAAGAUCACUGAAGUUAAGCAAUGUCGAGCCUGGUCAGUACCUAGAUGGGUAACCACUUAGGAAUACCAGGUGCUGCAA